rnacentral:RNase_P_RNA from 1 species
CCAGAGGAUUGGACGGUCGCCGCUCCCGCAGGGGAGGGGAGGAAAGUCCGGGCUCCACGGAACGACGGUGCCGGGUAACCCCCGGCGGGGGCGACCCCAGGGACAGUGCCACAGAGAGGAGACCGCCGGGCUUCGGUCCGGCAAGGCUGAAAGGGUGCGGUAAGAGCGCACCGCGCGAGCGGCAACGUGAGCGGCAAGGUAAACCCCACCGGGAGCAAGACCGAAUAGGGACGGCGCGUGGCUUCGGCCACAGGGCAGGAACCGGCCCAGUCGUCCGGGUUGGUUGCUUGAGGCCGUCAGUAAUGGCGGUCCUAGAGGAAUGACCGUCCACGGGUGGCGACACCCCGGACAGAACCCGGCUUACAGAUCCUCUGGCCAC